rnacentral:rRNA from 1 species
GAUGAACGCUGGCGGCGUGCCUAAUACAUGCAAGUCGAGCGAACAGACGAGGAGCUUGCUCCUCUGACGUUAGCGGCGGACGGGUGAGUAACACGUGGAUAACCUACCUAUAAGACUGGGAUAACUUCGGGAAACCGGAGCUAAUACCGGAUAAUAUAUUGAACCGCAUGGUUCAAUAGUGAAAGACGGUUUUGCUGUCACUUAUAGAUGGAUCCGCGCCGCAUUAGCUAGUUGGUAAGGUAACGGCUUACCAAGGCAACUAUGCGUAGCCGACCUGAGAGGGUGAUCGGCCACCCUGGAACUGAGACACGGUCCAGACUCCUACGGGAGGCAGCAGUAGGGAAUCUUCCGCAAUGGGCGAAAGCCUUACGGAGCGACGCCGCGUGAGUGAUGAAGGUCUUCGGAUCGUAAAACUCUGUUAUUAGGGAAGAACAAAUGUGUAAGUAACUAUGCACGUCUUGACGGUACCUAGUCAGAAAGCCACGGCUAACUACGUG